AACGAACGCUGGCGGCAUGCCUAACACAUGCAAGUCGAACGAUGCUUUCGGGCAUAGUGGCGCACGGGUGCGUAACGCGUGGGAAUCUGCCCUUGGGUUCGGAAUAACAGUGAGAAAUUGCUUCUAAUACCGGAUGAUGUCUUCGGACCAAAGAUUUAUCGCCCAGGGAUGAGCCCGCGUAGGAUUAGCUAGUUUGUGGGGUAAUGGCCUACCAAGGCGACGAUCCUUAGCUGGUCUGAGAGGAUGAUCAGCCACACUGGGACUGAGACACGGCCGAGACUCAUACGGGAGGGAGCAGUGGGGAAUAGUGGACAAUGGGCGCAAGCCUGAACCAGCAAUGCAGAGUGAGUGAUGAAAGCAUUAGGGUUGGAAAGCUCUUUUACCCGGGAUGAUAAUGACAGUACCGGGAGAAUAAGCUCCGGCUAACUCCGUG
rnacentral:rRNA from 1 species